CAUUCCCAUCCAUGGGUGCCCCCAUCCCCACUCUGGGUGCUGUGGGGGGUCCCUCAUCUCCCUGUCCCCCCCAGAUGAUUCCGUGCUCAAGCGGCGCCCUCAGAAAGCCUGGAACGAGUCCGACCUGGAUCUGGUUUAUGAGAAGAAGCCCCACAGUGGGGGGGGGUUCGACCGUCCCUCCCCAUCACUGGGGCUGAUGCUGUCACCAUGGAGGGAGUCGAGCCUGGAUGGGGCCGGAGGGGGCAAGGACCCCUAUGUGGGGCACAGCUCCACCCUGCCCCGUAACUUCAAGCUGCCGCCGGGGGAGCGCCGGGGCCCGGAGGGUCCAUUCCG